rnacentral:rRNA from 1 species
UACGAAGGGUGCAAGCGUUGCUCGGAAUUAUUGGGCGUAAAGCGCACGUAGGCGGCGUCGCAAGUCCCAUGUGAAAUCCCACGGCUUAACCGUGGAAGUGCAUGGGAAACUGCAGUGCUUGAGUACUUAAGAGGAUCGCGGAAUUCCCGGUGUAGAGGUGAAAUUCGUAGAUAUCGGGAGGAACACCAGUGGCGAAGGCGGCGAUCUGGGAAGAUACUGACGCUGAGGUGCGAAAGCGUGGGGAGCAAACAGG